AGAUUGAACGCUGGCGGCAGGCUUAACACAUGCAAGUCGAACGGUAGCAGGAGAAAGCUUGCUUUCUUGCUGACGAGUGGCGGACGGGUGAGUAAUGCUUGGGAAUCUGGCUUAUGGAGGGGGAUAACUACGGGAAACUGUAGCUAAUACCGCGUAGAAUCGGAAGAUGAAAGUGCGGGACCGCAAGGCCGCAUGCCAUGAGAUGAGCCCAAGUGGGAUUAGGUAGUUGGUGGGGUAAAGGCCUACCAAGCCUGCGAUCUCUAGC
rnacentral:rRNA from 1 species